rnacentral:rRNA from 1 species
UGAGUGGCGAACGGGUGAGUAACACGUGAGUAACCUGCCCUCUUCUUUGGAUAACGCCCGGAAACGGGUGCUAAUACUGGAUAUUCACUGAUCUUCGCAUGGGGGUUGGUGGAAAGGUUUUUUCUGGUGGGGGAUGGGCUCGCGGCCUAUCAGCUUGUUGGUGGGGUGAUGGCCUACCAAGGCUUUGACGGGUAGCCGGCCUGAGAGGGUGACCGGUCACAUUGGGACUGAGAUACGGCCCAG